rnacentral:rRNA from 1 species
AUGUACAGUAUUUACAACAUCACAUCGAAGAACUCCCCAACCCUCACAGAAUGGUGCAAGAUGAUCAUAGACAUGGGAGGAUCUCAUGACGAUGACUUUGUCCGCGCUUGGCUAGCUCUUGUUUUUUCGUGCUUCCUUGCCCCUUCAACUAGUUUGAGUAUUUCCCCAAAGAGCUUCCUGGCGGUCAUGGAUGUUAAUGGAAUAACGGAAACCAAUAUAUGCCAGUUUGUUGUUGAUCAAUUAAAGCUUGCGUUCACUUCGGGGCGUGCCAACAAGAAGGUUGUUUGUUGUUGUGUUUUCCACCUUGUUCUGUUUUACCUAGACUCUCUGGAUGUUGAUGAGCCAAUCCCGAACUUGGUACCAAGGGUUUCAGUUUGGAAUUCAGAUUUAAUCUCCAGAGUUAUCAAGAAGGACAGGAAGGCUCCGGGAGAAUAUGGCCAAUUGCGGCUCAAGACGGAGUUUUCCCGGUGUGUGGAUGAUAGCUUGUUUGGCAGUAUGGACCACAUCACCAAAUUUGUUGCCGCAAGAUUGCCCGAGUCAUAUGACAAAUCAGUAAGUUAUCUAGCACUUGUUUUUCCCUCUCACUGUUGUUCCCCUUUUUAUCGCCAUUUGUACAUUCAACCAUUUUUUCAGAAUCUUCAAUAG